GGGCAGUGGAAUAGAGAGAGGGCCAGUUGUUGAAGACAGGGCAUAGGAUUUCGAGACCUUGAGUACAGUCUGGACACUGAACUCAAUCAUAGCUGAGACAGAGGAACAAGUUUGUUUUCAAGAGAACUGGGAUAUGCCCUGCACAGAUUAGAGAAGCAUGGGCUAAAAGGCAGAGGGAAGAGCUGGAUUUUCUAAAUAAUCCUCUGCUCCUUCACCUGAAGCUUGGCUCUGUGAUACAUGACUUGGAUGUCAUAGGCAGAUGACUGAAAACUAUACCGAAUCCUGCAGAGCUCAGCUUUGUCUAUGUUGGUGGCAACUCCACUGAGUUACUCUUUGAGUUCACAGGUGGAGUGACCUCUCUGACCACUGGCAUAAUUUAGAGAAAUAGAGUAAGUUCAACAGGAGUAUAUGUAUAGCCUCAAGUGUGCUUUUUAAAAGACUUUGGGGCAGCAGGCAAUUUCUUUAGUACUUCAGUUCUGGGAUGGUGAUGAGACUAAUCUGACUUUGGUAGAUUUCUGUUGGGCAGAUGGGAAUCCAUGCUUUUUUCCUCUUACUACCUUUUGAUGUCUUAGAUGUCUUAUUAGUCAAUAAAGUUCUUUUUUUUUUUUAGACACUCUUGGUGUUUCUAACAGCUUUCCUCCAGCCUCGCUGUCAUUCAGUCAACCAUGGCCAGUUUUAGCCUCCCACCUAAGUCAUUUGACUCCAUUUGUGACAAGAGUAGCUAUCAUCCGGGCCAAUCUUCAAGAAUUAUCUCAGUUGAUUGGUAGCCAACAUAUAGCAAGCAUGCAAAACAUGUAGAAUAUGCCUUAGCAGGUAGGGCCAAAAUGAGAAAAUAAAAUCUUGUCUUAAACUCUUAGGUGAAUUCAUUCUUUCCUUAUUUAAAAGUUACAAAAUAUUUACUUAUACUGAAUACAUUGUACAAAAUAAUUUCAGGGGCACAAUUCUGUUCCUAAAGAGCCAGUCAUCUUUACAAAGUUGUUGUCUGCAUUGUCGUUGCCGUUGUGUAGUUGCUCAGUCGUGUCCAACUCUGUGACUCCGUGAACUGUAACCCACCAGGCUCCUCUGUCCAUUGGAUUUCCUAUGGACAAGAAUACUGGAGUGAGUUGCCAUUUCCU
rnacentral:lncRNA from 1 species